CCUACGGGAGGCAGCAGUGGGGAAUAUUGCACAAUGGGCGAAAGCCUGAUGCAGCAACGCCGCGUGAGGGACGACGGCCUUCGGGUUGUAAACCUCUUUUAGUAGGGAGGAAGCGAAAGUGACGGUACCUGCAGAAAAAGCACCGGCUAACUACGUGCCAGCAGCCGCGGUAAUACGUAGGGUGCAAGCGUUAUCCGGAAUUAUUGGGCGUAAAGAGCUCGUAGGCGGUUUGUCACGUCUGCUGUGAAAACUGGAGGCUCAACCUCCAGCCUGCAGUGGGUACGGGCAGACUAGAGUGCGGUAGGGGAGAUUGGAAUUCCUGGUGUAGCGGUGGAAUGCGCAGAUAUCAGGAGGAACACCGAUGGCGAAGGCAGAUCUCUGGGCCGUAACUGACGCUGAGGAGCGAAAGCAUGGGGAGCGAACAGGAUUAGAUACCCUGGUAGUCCAUGCCGUAAACGUUGGGAACUAGAUGUAGGGGCCAUUCCACGCUCUGUGUCGCAGCUACGCAUUACGUUACCCGUCCGUCGGGAGGUACGGCCGGCCGACGGACGUAAACGUUAAAGUUAGUUAAGUUAGUACGGUUCGUUGAGACGUUCGCCGACGGACGACCGACGAGGGAGGUUAGG
rnacentral:rRNA from 1 species